rnacentral:rRNA from 1 species
CGGCGGACGGGUGAGUAACACGUGGAUAACCUACCUAUAAGACUGGGAUAACUUCGGGAAACCGUAGCUAAUACCGGAUAAUAUUUUGAACCGCAUGGUUCAAAAGUGAAAGACGGUCUUGCUGUCACUUAUAGAUGGAUCCGCGCUGCAUUAGCUAGUUGGUAAGGUAACGGCUUACCAAGGCAACGAUGUAUAGCCGACCUGAGAGGGUGAUCGGCCACACUGGAACUGAGACACGGUCCAG